rnacentral:tRNA from 1 species
GCAGUCUAGUUGGUUGAUGCGCGUGUUUGGGAACCAGGGGUCGCGGGUUCGAAUCCCGUCGGAUGCA